ACCGGUAUAGCUCAGUUGGUCAGUUUAAGACUAUAGCGUCAGUUUAACAUGCUGGAUGUCACAAGUUCGAAUUUUUAUGAUGUGCUUGUUACCGGUA
rnacentral:tRNA from 1 species